rnacentral:rRNA from 1 species
UACGAAGGGGGCUAGCGUUGCUCGGAAUCACUGGGCGUAAAGCGCACGUAGGCGGCUUCUUAAGUCAGGGGUGAAAUCCUGGAGCUCAACUCCAGAACUGCCUUUGAUACUGGAGAGCUUGAGUCCGGAAGAGGUGAGUGGAACUCCGAGUGUAGAGGUGAAAUUCGUAGAUAUUCGCAAGAACACCCGUGGCGAAGGCGGCUCUCUGGGACGGUACUGACGCUGAGACGCGAAAGCGUGGGGAGCAAACAGGG